rnacentral:lncRNA from 1 species
UAUCACGACAAAAAAGGGUUACUAUGUAAGGAGACAUAUAGAAUAAUUAGCUUGACUGAAGUAGUCAUUGCACUAUGUAUAUCAAAAUAUCAUAUUGCACAUUUUAAAUAUAUAUAAUUUUAUGAAAAUAAAAUAAAAUUGGUGCUCCUGGAGUGAGAACUGUGUAUAGGUACUAUGCUAGUGAAAAGUGCUAGAAUAAGGAUCUGUCCACUAGGUCUGGUGUUACAGUGAUGAGUUCCUUUGGACCUGAAUUGUUCUUCCCAGUGCAGAUGUUUGGAAGANNNNNNNNNNGCUCAGUCAGUAAAGAAUUCACCUGCAAUGUAGGAGUGUGCCUGCAAUGCAGGAGUUGCCGAUUGGAUCCCUGGGUUGGGAAGAUCCCCUGAAGAAGAAAUGGCAAUCCACUCCAGUAUUCUUGCCAGGGAAAUCCCAUGGGCAGAGGAGCCUGGAGGGCAACAGUCCUUGGGGUUGCAAAAGAGUCAGACAAGACUUAGUGACUAAACCACCACCCCUGACCCCAGAGGCGAAGAAUAAAGUGCAGAUAUUUACCACGGACUGUUUGGCUCAUAAGCUUGGGCCUUUGCCCUUGCUGUUCCCUCUAAUAAUGCUUAUUCCCAGAAUGCUCUGUGAAUGAGCGACUUUUUUUAGGUCUUAGCUUUUAAGCCCCAAGACAGAGAGGCCCUUGUUAACCACAAUAUCCCCUGGAAUCACUACUCCUUGAACAAAUGCUCUUUCCUCCAAAGCAUCAUCACCACUUGAUCGGUAUACCUGUCUAACUAUUUAUAGAGUAUCUCCUCCUGUUAGAAUACAACCUCCUAUCGAUGAAGGCAGAGAUUUUUAUCCACCUUGUUCACUGGGAUAUCCCUUGAACUUAACAUAGUGCCUGGCACAUACGAGGCAUGCAUGUGUGCUAAGUCACUUCAGUUGUGUCUGAUUCUUCAUGGACUGUAGGCUGCCAGGUUCUUCUGUUCAUGGGAGUCUCCAGGCAAGAAUACUGGAGUGGGUUACCAUGCCCUCUUCCAGGGAUCUUCCCAACCUGGGAAUCAAAGCCAUGUCUCUUACAUCUCCUGCAUUGGCAGGCAGAUUCUUUAUCACUAGAGCCACCUGGGAAGCCCUCAUAAGAGGCAAUGACUAACUUUUGAAUGAAUACUGUAGCUAACACUCUCACCUUCCCUAAAAGCCACCUGCUCUCUCACUGAAAUUCCAAAGCCCCACUCCCUUUUAUAUAGAGAGUGAAAUCCACCCAGGGAUCCUUGCAAGGUUUCUGCAUGCUCCCUCUCAAUGCUAUCACAUGGUGUUCCUGGUAUCUCUCCUUAAGGGGAGCCAUAAGUCUGCACAUUCAAAUGUCUUGGCUGUGAUCUUUUCUCAGUAAGAUUUGCAUUCCCUGAUGAUGUGACUAAGGAAAGCAAUACAAGGAAGGCAUCAGAGAAGGUCUCUCUGUCCAAAAUACCUGAACACUAUUGGUAUGGAGGGUGAGAAGACCCUGGUAUGGCUUCCACUCCCAUCCUGUGAUUGCAGUU